rnacentral:rRNA from 1 species
UGCAUCCUGGCUCAAGGAUGAAUGCUGGUUGCCGUGCCUAACACAUGCAAGUCGAGCGGUAACAGGUCUAGUUUACUAGAUGCUGACGAGCGGCGAACGGCUGAGUAACGCGUGGGAACAUGCCCCAAAGUGAGGAAUAACUGCCCGAAAGGGUAGCUAAUGCCGCAUAUGAUCUUCGGAUUAAAGGAUUUAUCCGCUUUGGGAGUGGCCUGCGUACGAUUAGAUAGUUGGUGAGGUAAUGGCUUACCAAGUCUACGAUCGUUAGCUGGUCUGAGAGGAUGACCAGCCAGACUGGAACUGAGACACGGUCCAGACUCCUACGGGAGGCAGCAGUGAGGAAUCUUCCACAAUGGGCGAAAGCCUGAUGGAGCAACGCCGCGUGCAGGAUGAAGGCCUUCGGGUCGUAAACUGCUUUUAUAAGUGAAGAAUAUGACGGUAACUUAUGAAUAAGCACCGGCUAACUACGUGCCAGCAGCCGCGGUCAUACGUAGGGUGCAAGCAUUAUCCGGAGUGACUGGGCGUAAAGAGUUGCGUAGGUGGUUCGUAAAGUGAAUAGUGAAAUCUGGUGGCUCAACCAUUCGGGCUAUUAUUCAAACUCACGGACUCGAGAAUGGUAGAGGUUAACUGGAAUUUCUAGUGUAGGAGUGAAAUCCGUAGAUAUUAGAAGGAACACCAAUGGCGUAGGCAGGUUUACUGGACCAUUUCUGACACUGAGGCACGAAUGCGUGGGGAGCGAACCGGAUUAGAUACCCGGGUUAGUUCCACGCCGUAAACUAUGGAUUCCUA